GACGAACGCUGGCGGCGUGCCUAAUACAUGCAAGUCGAGCGGAUCUCUUCGGAGAUCAGCGGCGGACGGGUGAGUAACACGUGGGCAACCUGCCUGUAAGACUGGGAUAACUCCGGGAAACCGGAGCUAAUACCGGAUACUAUGUCAAACCGCAUGGUUUGACAUUCAAAGACGGUUUCGGCUGUCACUUACAGAUGGGCCCGCGGCGCAUUAGCUGGUUGGUGAGGUAACGGCUCACCAAGGCGACGAUGCGUAGCCGACCUGAGAGGGUGAUCGGCCACACUGGGACUGAGACACGGCCCAGACUCCUAUGGGAGGCAGCAGUAGGGAAUCUUCCGCAAUGGACGAAAGUCUGACGGAGCAACGCCGCGUGAGUGAUGAAGGUUUUCGGAUCGUAAAACUCUGUUGUCAGGGAAGAACAAGUGCCGGAGUAACUGCCGGCGCCUUGACGGUACCUGACCAGAAAGCCACGGCUAACUACGUGCCAGCCGCCGCCGUAACAC
rnacentral:rRNA from 1 species